AUAAAUCUUAUAGCUUGAAGAGCUAUUCCUAGCAUGGCGAUGAUUAAGCUUAGCUUCAUAUUCACUAUUCUUAUCAUGGCAGCCACUAUUAAUGCGUCUUGGUUCUCGAAGAAGCAAGUUAUAGCUACAUCAGAUGUUGUUCAUGUGCUCUCAGGACUCAAUAGGAGAGUGCUCCCACAGCUUAAUACUUGUCUUAGAUCCUGUACUUCCGACAGUGAUUGCAGUGAUUGUUGGAUUUGUUGUACUUGUGCGCAAACUUAUGAAUUUGUGUGUAAAUGGAAAAUUUAGUGUCUGCUGACACCAACAAAUUA